rnacentral:rRNA from 1 species
CCUACGGGCGGCAGCAGUGAGGAAUAUUGGUCAAUGGCCGGAAGACUGAACCAGCCAAGCCGCGUGAAGGACGAAGGUUCUAAGCAUUGUAAACCUCUUUUGUCAAGGAAUAAAAUCAGGCUCGUGUUCCUGUUCGAGUGUACCUUAUGAAUAAGGAUCGGCUAACUCCGUGCCAGCAGCCGCGGUAAUACGGAGGAUCCGAGCGUUAUCCGGAUUUAUUGGGUUUAAAGGGUGCGUAGGCGGCCUUUUAAGUCAGCGGGUAAAGGCCGUGGCUCAACCCCAGAAGUGCCGUUGAAACUGGGGGUCUUGAGAUGGCGUGAGGCAGGCGGAAUGCGCGGUGUAGCGGUGAAAUGCUUAGAUAUAACGCAGAACUCCGAUUGCGAAGGCAGCCUGCCAGGGGAGGUCUGACGCUGAUGCACGAAAGCGUGGGUAUCGAACAGGAUUAGAUACCCGAGUAGUC